rnacentral:rRNA from 1 species
UACGAAGGGGGCUAGCGUUGCUCGGAAUCACUGGGCGUAAAGCGCACGUAGGCGGCUUUCUAAGUCAGGGGUGAAAUCCUGGAGCUCAACUCCAGAACUGCCUUUGAUACUGGGAAGCUCGAGUCCGGAAGAGGUGAGUGGAACUCCGAGUGUAGAGGUGUAAUUCGUAGAUAUUCGGAAGAACACCAGUGGCGAAGGCGGCUCACUGGUCCGGUACUGACGCUGAGGUGCGAAAGCGUGGGGAGCAAACAGG